rnacentral:rRNA from 1 species
AGUGAACGCUGGCGGUAGGCCUAACACAUGCAAGUCGAACGGCAGCACAGUAAGAGCUUGCUCUUACGGGUGGUGAGUGGCGGACGGGUGAGGAAUACAUCGGAAUCUACUUUUUCGUGGGGGAUAACGUAGGGAAACUUACGCUAAUACCGCAUACGACCUACGGGUGAAAGCAGGGGAUCUUCGGACCUUGUGCGAUUGAAUGAGCCGAUGUCGGAUUAGCUAGUUGGCGGGGUAAAGGCCCACCAAGGCGACGAUCCGUAGCUGGUCUGAGAGGAUGGUCAGCCACACUGGAACUGAGACACGGUCCAGACUCCUACGGGAGGCAGCAGUGGGGAAUAUUGGACAAUGGGCGCAAGCCUGAUCCAGCCAUACCGCGUGGGUGAAGAAGGCCUUCGGGUUGUAAAGCCCUUUUGUUGGGAAAGAAAAGCAGCAGGUUAAUACCCCGCUGUUCUGACGGUACCCAAAGAAUAAGCACCGGCUAACUUCGUG